rnacentral:lncRNA from 1 species
AAGGAAACCAACUUUCCUUAUCAAGGACCUAGCCUCAAGGACUUUGCUAUAGCAACAGAACACUCAAACAGUUCUGAACCUCAUGCCUGGCAAGACCAGAAGGCACAGCCAGGAGCUCAAAAGGCUCCGCCUCCCCUCUGCUUCACUUGGGUUCUAGCUGACUUUGAAAAGCAGAAGGAGAGUUCUUUCCCCGCAGAAGGAAGCCAUGGCCAUGGAUAUGUCUCUUAGAGAAGGUCAAAGAUGCAGUUAUGAUCCUACAGAAGCCAGAGCUGCACCCAGAGCUCGGAGUCGGAGGCACAUCACGUUCGUGGGACUUGAUCCACAACAAACUACUUUAUUAUGAAAUCUACGCUGCUGGGUAUAAAAACGCUCAAGCUUACACAAUUACAGAGCCAUUAACAGGUCACAAGCCUCAGGGUCAAUGUUAUACUCGGGUGUUGUGGAUCCACCUGGGCCAGUGCAUCUACAUCUUCUUCUGCCUGGCUUCCUCUUCAAUCAGACUUUCCUGAAAAUAUAAAACAUGCUUAUGAAUGUUGAACGGACUAGCUGAAGAAUUUCAUUGUUUCUGACGUUUUCUAAAAUCCAGAUCUAAGGACGGGUGCAUUUGUCAUCAUUGUGCUAGAAAACACAGCAUCUUGUGGAGCUGUUGACAUAAAAUCUACAUUAGCCGCGUAAAGGAUGACGCUGUGAGAAAGGACUGAGUCAAAUCAGCUUUGGGAUGCUUCAUGAUGCCAUGCGUGGGGAACUUUUGGUGCUGGUUAUUUUGAUUGGCCUAUAAGCAAAAUUAGAACUAGAAAGGGAAUUAAGAUGCUUGCCCACCUUCACUUCUGUCCAUUGGGUGUGGAAAUUGAAGUCACCG